rnacentral:rRNA from 1 species
GACGAACGCUGGCGGCGUGCUUAACACAUGCAAGUCGAACGAAGUGGCGAACGGGUGAGUAACGCGUAAUCAACCUGCCCUUCAGAGGGGGACAACAGUUGGAAACGACUGCUAAUACCGCAUACUGAAGGAGGGGAUUGCGUCGGUUUAGCUAGGUGGGGGGGUAACGGCCCACCAAGGCGAUGGUCCGUAGCCGGGAUGAGGGGAUGAACCGGCAAAUUGGGAAUGAGACAACGCCCAGAAUUCUACGGGAGGCAGCAAGGGGGAAUCUUCCGCAAUGGACGAAAGUCUGGAGGAGCAACGGCGCGGGAGGGGUGACGGCCUUCGGGGUGUAAAGGUCUGUUAAGCGGGGCGCGGUACCGGAAUAGAAAGCCACGGCUAACUACGUGCCAGCAGCCGCGGUAAUAC